rnacentral:rRNA from 1 species
AUUGAACGCUGGCGGCAGGCCUAACACAUGCAAGUCGAGCGGAUGAGGGGCGCUUGCACUCUGAUUCAGCGGCGGACGGGUGAGUAAUGCCUAGGAAUCUGCCCGAUAGUGGGGGACAACGUUUCGAAAGGAACGCUAAUACCGCAUACGUCCUACGGGAGAAAGUGGGGGAUCUUCGGACCUCACGCUAUCGGAUGAGCCUAGGUCGGAUUAGCUAGUUGGUGAGGUAAUGGCUCACCAAGGCUACGAUCCGUAACUGGUCUGAGAGGAUGAUCAGUCACACUGGAACUGAGACACGGUCCAGACUCCUACGGGAGGCAGCAGUGGGGAAUAUUGGACAAUGGGCGAAAGCCUGAUCCAGCCAUGCCGCGUGUGUGAAGAAGGUCUUCGGAUUGUAAAGCACUUUAAGUUGGGAGGAAGGGCUGUAGGCUAAUAUCCUGCAGUUUUGACGUUACCAACAGAAUAAGCACCGGCUAACUUCGUGCCAGCCGCCGCAGUAA